rnacentral:misc_RNA from 1 species
GAUGAAGAACGUAGCGAAAUGCGAUAAGUAAUGUGAAUUGCAGAAUUCAGUGAAUCAUCGAAUCUUUGAACGCACAUUGCGCCCGCCAGUAUUCUGGCGGGCAUGCCUGUCUGAGCGUCAUUUCAACCCUCAUGCCCCUAGGGCGUGGUGUUGGGGAUCGGCCAAAGCCCGCGAGGGACGGCCGGCCCCUAAAUCUAGUGGCGGACCCGUCGCAGCUUCCAUCGCGUAGUAGCUAACACCUCGCGACUGGAGAGCGGCGCGGCCACGCCGUAAAACACCCAACUCUUCUGAAGUUGACCUCGAAUCAGGUAGGAAUACCCGCUGAACUUAAGCAUAUCAAUAAGCGGAGGA